UGUUAGGUUGGUGCAAAAGUAAUUGCGGGUUUUGCCAUGAAAAGUAAUGGCAAAAAUUUCAUUUUUUUUCUUUAAGUCAAUGAUUUCAAGCUUCCUAAAUAUUAUACC
rnacentral:miRNA from 10 species